AGAAUUUGAACCCGGGUCAAAUUGAGCGUUGGGGGCAGGCCAUAACACAUGCAAGUCGAGCGGUAGAGAGAAGCUUGCUUCUCUUGAGAGCGGCGGACGGGUGAGUAAUGCCUAGGAAUCUGCCUGGUAGUGGGGGAUAACGUUCGGAAACGGACGCUAAUACCGCAUACGUCCUACGGGAGAAAGCAGGGGACCUUCGGGCCUUGCGCUAUCAGAUGAGCCUAGGUCGGAUUAGCUAGUUGGUGAGGUAAUGGCUCACCAAGGCGACGAUCCGUAACUGGUCUGAGAGGAUGAUCAGUCACACUGGAACUGAGACACGGUCCAGACUCCUACGGGAGGCAGC
rnacentral:rRNA from 1 species